rnacentral:rRNA from 1 species
CCCUUAGAUGUUCUGGGCCGCACGCGUGCUACACUGAGUGGAUCAGCGGGUCAGGUUGCGCGAAAGUGUUUCCUAAUCUUGAAAUCCGCUCGUGAUGGGGAUUGACGGUUGCAAUUUUCUGUCAUGAACGAGGAAUACCUUGUAAGCGCGGGUCAUCAUCCCGCGCUGAAUACGUCCCUGCCCUUUGUACACACCGCCCGUCGCUCCUACCGAUUGAAUGUUCCGGUGAGCUCUUCGGACUGCGCGGUCUGCAGUUUCUGCGUUCCGUGCGGAAAGUUGCGCAAACCUUAACAUUUAGAGGAAGGAGAAGUCGUAACA